GUGCGAAUAGAGGAGGGAGCGCGAAGUGGAUUUGGAAUAGUAGGCUGCUGGCGCCGAAGCGCUGGAUAAGGCUCUUUGAUUUGACCUGGAUAAUUUUCCCUGGUUGCUACUGCUAAUCCAUCAAAAUAGCUCAUCUAAUCGGGCAAAUCCUUCUUUAACAUCAGAUAGGUUAAUGGAGAAGAGUUGUUUCAAUAAACUUUGACCAAGGAAGCCAAGUGCUGGAUCUCUGGAUAACGGAAAAGCGCGUUGGGAAAUGUGACACUUGUUUGAUUAUUCAAAUUCGGUCAACACAGUUGCCUAGCGUGUUUGAUAUAAAAAGUUGAUUCAAUCAAAAUAGGAGGAGGACUCUUACAAUGAGCAAAGUUAUCAGCACCACAUUUUCUGUGUUUUUUUGUUGUCGUUUUUGUUUCGUUGAUCUGUGGCAUAUUCAUUAAGACGAUUGUGUUGCAAAACGUUCUCAAACGGAAACAAAAUGAACAUAAAGGGGCGGGACAAACAUGAAUUUGUCCAAUAGAAACUAUCGUUUUUAUUGCUAAACACAUUUUUUUGGACUAAUAUUUUACACGCCAGUUUUGGUCAUGCACUUGCAUUGUGCUGUUGUAGCCCACGGGGCAUGAACACUUCGCGUGAGGAAGGGAGACACGAUGGCACGUUGCAUGGGAAGGAAUAGAUCAGAGUUGAUCGUUUGCCUGUUCGUGGCUUCUAUAGUGGGAUAUUAUAUUUUUAACAGGCAUAAUAAUCCAGGUGACAUAGGUGGAACAAGUCUAAGAGAAGUUCCCAUUGAGCACGAUAUUGAAAAUGAAUUGCUUAAAAAGCCUGUUUAUGACAAACCGCCGUUGGAUUUAAAUGCCUUAGGAGAACUGGGCAGAGCUGUCAAAUUGAACCUCGUUGGAGAGGAGAAGAAAAAAGAAGAGGAAAGUAUUAAGAAGCACCAGAUUAAUACCUAUGUAAGUGAUAUGAUAUCUCUCCACCGCAGCCUACCUGAAAGAUGGAAUCCUCUUUGUAAGGACCUGAAGUAUGACUACAGGAGGUUGCCAUCUACCUCAGUGGUGAUUGCCUUCUACAAUGAGGCGUGGUCCACGCUGCUACGCACUGUCCACAGUGUCCUGGAGACAUCACCUAACUUACUGCUACGAGAGGUGGUGCUGGUGGACGACUAUAGUGACAGAGCUCAUUUGAAGGAGCCGUUGGAAAACUACAUCUCCAGCUUGAAGAAGGUGCGUCUGAUCCGGGCCAGGAAGAGGGAGGGCCUGGUACGGGCCAGGCUCCUGGGGGCCUCCAUUGCCACGGGUGACGUGCUGACCUUCCUGGACUGCCACUGUGAAUGUCACGAGGGCUGGCUGGAGCCCCUGCUCCACAGGAUAAAGGAGAAGCCAUCGGCUGUGGUCUGUCCCGUCAUCGAUGUCAUUGACUGGAACACUUUUCAGUAUCUAGGCAACUCUAAGGAACCCCAUAUCGGAGGAUUUGAUUGGCGGCUGGUCUUCACCUGGCACCUGGUGCCAGAGUACGAGCAGAAACACAGACGCUCUGCCAUCGAUGUCAUCAGGUCUCCUACUAUGGCUGGAGGGCUGUUUGCUGUCAGUAAGAACUAUUUCCAUUACCUGGGAACGUAUGACACAGGCAUGGAGGUGUGGGGAGGAGAGAACCUAGAGUUCUCAUUCAGGAUCUGGCAGUGUGGGGGCAGCCUGGAGAUCCACCCCUGCUCCCACGUGGGCCACGUCUUCCCCAAGAAGGCCCCCUACUCGCGGAGCAAGGCCCUGGCCAACAGCGUGCGUGCUGCCGAGGUCUGGAUGGACGAGUACAAGGAGUUGUACUACCACCGUAACCCCAAAGCUCGUCUGGAGGCCUUUGGGGAUGUGACAGACAGGAGGAAGCUCAGGACCCAGUUAGGAUGUAAGGACUUCAAGUGGUACCUGGAGAACAUCUAUCCUGAUAUCCACGUUCCUGAGGACAGGCCUGGGACGUUUGGAAUGCUGAAGAACAGAGGCAUGUCCAGCUACUGCUUUGACUACAAUCCUCCUGACGACCAUAACCUGGUGGGCCACCGAAUCAUCCUCUACCCCUGUCAUGGCAUGGGACAAAACCAGGUAGAUAUAGCUCCAUCUUUACUCUCCAUGUCCUUCAUUUAAAACCAGGUAGCUAUAGCCCCAUCUUUACUCUCCAUGUCCUUCAUUUAAAACCAGGUAGCUAUAGCUCCAUCUUUACUCUCCAUGUCCUUCAUUUAAAACCAGGUAGCUAUAGCUCCAUCUUUACUCUCCAUGUCCUUCAUUUAAAACCAGGUAGCUAUAGCUCCAUCUUUACUCUCCAUGUCCUUCAUUUAAAACCAGGUAGCUAUAGCUCCAUCUUUACUCUCCAUGUCCUUCAUUUAAAACCAGGUAGCUAUAGCUCCAUCUUUACUCUCCAUGUCCUUCAUUUAAAACCAGGUAGCUAUGGCUCCAUCUUUACUCUCCAUGUCCUUCAUUUAAAACCAGGUACAGUUGAAGUCGGAAGUUCACAUACACCUUAGCCAAAUACAUUUAAACUCAGUUUUUCACAAUUCCUGACAUUUAAUCCUUGUAAAAAUUCCCUGUUUUAGGUCAGUUAGGAUCACCACUUUAUUUUAAGAAUGUGAAAUGUCAGAAUAAUAGUUGAGUGAUUUAUUUCAGCUUUUAUUUCUUUCAUCACAUUCCCAGUGGGUCAGAAGUUGACAUACACUCAAUUAGUAUGUGGUAGCAUUUCCUUUAAAUUGUUUAACUGGGGUCAAACGUUUCAGGUAGCCUUCCGCAAGCUUCCCACAAGUUGGGUGAAUUUUGGCCCAUUCCUCCUGACAGAGCUGGUGUAACUGAGUCAGGUUUGUCGGCCUCCUUGCUUGCACACGCUUUUUCAGUUCUGCCCACAAAUUUUCUAUAGGAUUGAGGUCAGGGCUUUGUGAUGGCCACUCCAAUACCUUGACUUUGUUGUCCUUAAGCCAUUUUGCCACAACUUUGGAAGUAUGCUUGGGGUCAUUGUCCAUUUGGAAAACCCAUGUGCGUCCAAGCUUUAACUUUCUGACUGAUGUCUUGAGAUGUUGCGUCAAUAUAUCCACAUAAUUUUACAGCCUCAUGAUGCCAUCUAUUUUGUGAAGUGCACCAGUCCUUCCUGCAGCAAAGAACCCCCACAACAUGAUGCUGCCACCCCCGUGCUUCACGGUUAGGAUGGUGAUCUUCGGCUUGCAAGCCUCCCCCUUUUUCCUCCAAACAUAACAAUGGUCAUUAUGGCCAAACAGUUCUAUUUUUGUUUCAUCAGACCAGAGGAUAUUUCUCCAAAAAUUAUGAUCUUUGUCCCAUGUGCAGUUGCAAACCGUAGUCUGGCUUUUUUAUGGCAGUUUUGGAGCAGUGGCUCCUUCCUUGCUGAGCGGCAUUUCAGGUUAUGUAAUAUAAGACUUGUUUUUACUGUGGAUAUCGAUACUUUUGUACCUGUUCCCUCCAGCACAAGGUCCUUUGCUGUUUUUCUGGGAUUGAUUUGCACUUUUCGCACCAAAGUACAUUCAUCUCUGAGACAGAACGCGUCUCCUUCCUGAGCGGUAUGACGGCUGUGUGGUCCCAUGGUGUGUAUAAUUGCAUUUGGAAAUUGCUCCCAAGGAUGAACCAGACUUGUGGAGGUAUACCAUUUUUUCUGGGGUCUUGGCUGAUUUCUUUUGAUUUUCCCAUGAUGUCAAGCGAAGAGGCACUGGGUUUGAAGGUAGGCCUUGAAAUACAUCCACAGGUACACCUCCAAUUGACUCAAAUGAUGUCAAUUAGCCUAUCAGAAGCUUCUAAAGCCAUGACAUCAUUUUCUGAAAUUUUCCAAGCUGUUUGUAAACUUUGUAAACUUAGCUAUAACUUAGCAACUGUAGCUAUAACUCCAUGUUUACACUCCUUGUCCUUCAUUUAAAACCAGGUAGUUAUAACUCCAUCUUUACUCUCCAUGUCCAACAUUAAGUAGUGGUCCAUACACUGGUGUGCUAGCUUACAGCUGUCAUGGUAAACAAUGCUCACAGGGCUUUCAUGGCCAAUAGCCUUUUCAUGGCUUAGUGGUUAUUUGGCUUUUGCCUGGGCCUGGCAGACAGCAUGUGGAUAGUGGAAAGAGUGUUUGUCUCAUGGCUUCAGAUGAUAAUGUACGUUGACAAGUAUAAAAUUGCUUUGUGAAUUUGGACUGAAAGGAUAGUGAUGAAAGCAGUAACCAUCACGCUCAACCUUAAACUUAAAUAGUCUUUGUUUGGUACGUUGAACCAAUAAAACAUCAUUUUUGCGCCCAAAGGAUAAAGAGAGUAUUGUACAAAAGUGAUAUCCAGUGUGGGCUACAUUGAGCCCCUUACAAGUUGGCAUUGUUAUUUCAGCACCCCUCUGUGUAUCCACUGUGGUGCCUUACUUUGUACUGGCAACUGAAAUGGACACAACAAAACUCACACUACACUGCCCAGAUUGCCCACACUCUGCUGGUCUCACCCUGCGUCUCACCAUACGUCUCACCCUGCGUCUCACUCUGCUGGUCUCACCCUGUGUCUCACCCUACGUCUGUCUCUCCUG